GUAAAGGCUGGGCUUAGACGUGGC
rnacentral:piRNA from 3 species